rnacentral:rRNA from 1 species
GACGAACGCUGGCGGCGUGCUUAACACAUGCAAGUCGAACGGAAAGGCCCUGCUUUUGUGGGGUGCUCGAGUGGCGAACGGGUGAGUAACACGUGAGUAACCUGCCCUUGACUUUGGGAUAACUUCAGGAAACUGGGGCUAAUACCGGAUAGGAGCUCCUGCUGCAUGGUGGGGGUUGGAAAGUUUCGGCGGGUGGGGAUGGACUCGCGGCUUAUCAGCUUGUUGGUGGGGUAGUGGCUUACCAAGGCUUUGACGGGUAGCCGGCCUGAGAGGGUGACCGGCCACAUUGGGACUGGGAUACGGCCCAGACUCCUCCGGGAGGCAGCAGUGGGGAAUAUUGCCCAAUGGGCGGAAGCCUGAUGCAGCAACGCCGCGUGCGGGAUGACGGCCUUCGGGUUGUAAACCGCUUUCGCCUGUGACGAAGCGUGAGUGACGGUAAUGGGUAAAGAAGCACCGGCUAACUACGUG